rnacentral:rRNA from 1 species
AACGAACGCUGGCGGCAUGCCUAACACAUGCAAGUCGAACGAGACCUUCGGGUCUAGUGGCGCACGGGUGCGUAACGCGUGGGAACCUGCCCUUAGGUUCGGAAUAACUCCCCGAAAGGGGUGCUAAUACCGGAUAAUUUCUUCGGACCAAAGAUUUAUCGCCCUUGGAUGGGCCCGCGUUGGAUUAGCUAGUUGGUAGGGUAAAAGCCUACCAAGGCGACGAUCCAUAGCUGGUCUGAGAGGAUGAUCAGCCACACUGGGACUGAGACACGGCCCAGACUCCUACGGGAGGCAGCAGUGGGGAAUAUUGGACAAGGGGCGAAAGCCUGACCCAGCAAUGCCGCGUGAGUGAUGAAGGCCUUAGGGUUGUAAAGCUCUUUUACCCGGGAUGAUAAUGACAGUACCGGGAGAAUAAGCCCCGGCUAACUCCGUG